GGGUGGAGAUGGAGGAGGUGGAGCCAGAUGGCCCGGACAGCACCUGGGCACCUGAGGACCAGCAGGGGUCAGUGCUCUCCAGCUCAGCAACCAUCACUGGUUGCUCCUCCUGUGGCGGGAGGAGCCCCCAGGCUUCAGGGCAUUUCUCUCCCUUUGCCCUCUCUGCUCCACCCCGCGAGCGGCCUGCUUCCUUGGACAAGCACAAAGCAGGAGAAAGCACGCUGGACUCAGCCCUGCCACUCACCAGCUGCGCCACCGGGAGCAAGUGCCUGUCCCUCUCUGAGACAAAUUUCCUGUCCUGUGAAACCGCAGCAGUGAUUGCACCCUCUGGAGCUGCUGUGAGGACUAACGGCAAACCUGAAUGCGCAGUAGCUGUUACCGACUGGAUGCGCUCAUCUUGUGCCCCCAGGCCUUUGCUUGGGCUGUUCCCCCGACCCCUGUCCCCGUCCCCGGCCAGGAAUUCUCUCCUCCUCCCAACCCGCACCUCCACUUGGAGAAGUCCUUCAGGGUCCACCUCUUCCAGUCCUCCUCCAGGCGCCCCGCAGAGCAUCCCAUUCUCUCUUGGAGCAACUCUGAGAGUUCUUUGCCCCAGUAUUCUUUCUCCUCUGAAGAUAGUUUACACAUUCCUUGCUUAUAAAAACAGCCUGCACCCACCCAGUGCAAAGCUUUCUCAUGGUUCCAUCCUGUCUUUGCACCAUCCCCCGGGGAUUGGGCACCGCGUCACCAUGCUGCCGAUAAGGAAGUGGGUUCAGGAAGGAAAGUGAGUCAUCCAAGAUCUCCUCCAAUCAGGACUUCCAACUCAGGGCCUCACAGUCAUUGCCAUGAGCAGUCAUGGGCAUCUGCUCCUGCCCUGUGGCGGGCAGGUGCCCUCAGAAUAAAGAGCUCUGAUUGCAGUUCUUCGCGGCUUCCGGCCCCAUGUAGCAUGGCUUGCAAAGCAAAUCUGGGGGAAGAUCCACACCCUCCAUUCACCUCCAGACUUACUUCCUGCUGCAGCCACGCCUCCAGGAGCCCACCUACUGGAGGGGCCGGUUGGGCUGGCUGCAGCCUCACCAAACUAGCUGGCGGUUGGGGCAUUAUUGAGCUCCUGUGCCC
ensembl:lncRNA